rnacentral:rRNA from 1 species
GGGUUGUGAGGUUAAGCGACUAAGCGUACACGGUGGAUGCCCUGGCAGUCAGAGGCGAUGAAGGACGUGCUAAUCUGCGAUAAGCGUCGGUAAGGUGAUAUGAACCGUUAUAACCGGCGAUUUCCGAAUGGGGAAACCCAGUGUGAUUCGUCACACUAUCAUUAACUGAAUCCAUAGGUUAAUGAGGCGAACCGGGGGAACUGAAACAUCUAAGUACCCCGAGGAAAAGAAAUCAACCGAGAUUCCCCCAGUAGCGGCGAGCGAACGGGGAGCAGCCCAGAGCCUGAAUCAGUGUGUGUGUUAGUGGAAGCGUCUGGAAAGGCGCGCGAUACAGGGUGACAGCCCCGUACACAAAAAUGCACAUACUGUGAGCUCGAUGAGUAGGGCGGGACACGUGGUAUCCUGUCUGAAUAUGGGGGGACCAUCCUCCAAGGCUAAAUACUCCUGACUGACCGAUAGUGAACCAGUACCGUGAGGGAAAGGCGAAAAGAACCCCGGCGAGGGGAGUGAAAAAGAACCUGAAACCGUGUACGUACAAGCAGUGGGAGCCUCUUAAUGGGGUGACUGCGUACCUUUUGUAUAAUGGGUCAGCGACUUAUAUUCUGUAGCAAGGUUAACCGAAUAGGGGAGCCGAAGGGAAACCGAGUCUUAACUGGGCGUUAAGUUGCAGGGUAUAGACCCGAAACCCGGUGAUCUAGCCAUGGGCAGGUUGAAGGUUGGGUAACACUAACUGGAGGACCGAACCGACUAAUGUUGAAAAAUUAGCGGAUGACUUGUGGCUGGGGGUGAAAGGCCAAUCAAACCGGGAGAUAGCUGGUUCUCCCCGAAAGCUAUUUAGGUAGCGCCUCGUGAAUUCAUCUCCGGGGGUAGAGCACUGUUUCGGCAAGGGGGUCAUCCCGACUUACCAACCCGAUGCAAACUGCGAAUACCGGAGAAUGUUAUCACGGGAGACACACGGCGGGUGCUAACGUCCGUCGUGAAGAGGGAAACAACCCAGACCGCCAGCUAAGGUCCCAAAGUCAUGGUUAAGUGGGAAACGAUGUGGGAAGGCCCAGACAGCCAGGAUGUUGGCUUAGAAGCAGCCAUCAUUUAAAGAAAGCGUAAUAGCUCACUGGUCGAGUCGGCCUGCGCGGAAGAUGUAACGGGGCUAAACCAUGCACCGAAGCUGCGGCAGCGACGCUUAUGCGUUGUUGGGUAGGGGAGCGUUCUGUAAGCCUGCGAAGGUGUGCUGUGAGGCAUGCUGGAGGUAUCAGAAGUGCGAAUGCUGACAUAAGUAACGAUAAAGCGGGUGAAAAGCCCGCUCGCCGGAAGACCAAGGGUUCCUGUCCAACGUUAAUCGGGGCAGGGUGAGUCGACCCCUAAGGCGAGGCCGAAAGGCGUAGUCGAUGGGAAACAGGUUAAUAUUCCUGUACUUGGUGUUACUGCGAAGGGGGGACGGAGAAGGCUAUGUUGGCCGGGCGACGGUUGUCCCGGUUUAAGCGUGUAGGCUGGUUUUCCAGGCAAAUCCGGAAAAUCAAGGCUGAGGCGUGAUGACGAGGCACUACGGUGCUGAAGCAACAAAUGCCCUGCUUCCAGGAAAAGCCUCUAAGCAUCAGGUAACAUCAAAUCGUACCCCAAACCGACACAGGUGGUCAGGUAGAGAAUACCAAGGCGCUUGAGAGAACUCGGGUGAAGGAACUAGGCAAAAUGGUGCCGUAACUUCGGGAGAAGGCACGCUGAUAUGUAGGUGAAGCGACUUGCUCGUGGAGCUGAAAUCAGUCGAAGAUACCAGCUGGCUGCAACUGUUUAUUAAAAACACAGCACUGUGCAAACACGAAAGUGGACGUAUACGGUGUGACGCCUGCCCGGUGCCGGAAGGUUAAUUGAUGGGGUUAGCGGUAACGCGAAGCUCUUGAUCGAAGCCCCGGUAAACGGCGGCCGUAACUAUAACGGUCCUAAGGUAGCGAAAUUCCUUGUCGGGUAAGUUCCGACCUGCACGAAUGGCGUAAUGAUGGCCAGGCUGUCUCCACCCGAGACUCAGUGAAAUUGAACUCGCUGUGAAGAUGCAGUGUACCCGCGGCAAGACGGAAAGACCCCGUGAACCUUUACUAUAGCUUGACACUGAACAUUGAGCCUUGAUGUGUAGGAUAGGUGGGAGGCUUUGAAGUGUGGACGCCAGUCUGCAUGGAGCCGACCUUGAAAUACCACCCUUUAAUGUUUGAUGUUCUAACGUUGGCCCCUAAUCGGGGUUGCGGACAGUGUCUGGUGGGUAGUUUGACUGGGGCGGUCUCCUCCUAAAGAGUAACGGAGGAGCACGAAGGUUGGCUAAUCCUGGUCGGACAUCAGGAGGUUAGUGCAAUGGCAUAAGCCAGCUUGACUGCGAGCGUGACGGCGCGAGCAGGUGCGAAAGCAGGUCAUAGUGAUCCGGUGGUUCUGAAUGGAAGGGCCAUCGCUCAACGGAUAAAAGGUACUCCGGGGAUAACAGGCUGAUACCGCCCAAGAGUUCAUAUCGACGGCGGUGUUUGGCACCUCGAUGUCGGCUCAUCACAUCCUGGGGCUGAAGUAGGUCCCAAGGGUAUGGCUGUUCGCCAUUUAAAGUGGUACGCGAGCUGGGUUUAGAACGUCGUGAGACAGUUCGGUCCCUAUCUGCCGUGGGCGCUGGAGAACUGAGGGGGGCUGCUCCUAGUACGAGAGGACCGGAGUGGACGCAUCACUGGUGUUCGGGUUGUCAUGCCAAUGGCACUGCCCGGUAGCUAAAUGCGGAAGAGAUAAGUGCUGAAAGCAUCUAAGCACGAAACUUGCCCCGAGAUGAGUUCUCCCUGACUCCCUGAGAGUCCUGAAGGAACGUUGAAGACGACGACGUUGAUAGGCCGGGUGUGUAAGCGCAGCGAUGCGUUGAGCUAACCGGUACUAAUGAACCGUGAGGCUUAACCUUACAACGCCGAAGCUGUU